UAUGGGCGCAGGCCUGAACCAGCCAAGUAGCGUGAAGGAUGACUGCCCUNCGGGUUGUAAACUUCUUUUAUAAAGGAAUAAAGUCGGGUAUGUAUACCCGUUUGCAUGUACUUUAUGAAUAAGGAUCGGCUAACUCCGUGCCAGCAGCCGCGGUAAUACGGAGGAUCCGAGCGUUAUCCGGAUUUAUUGGGUUUAAAGGGAGCGUAGAUGGAUGUUUAAGUCAGUUGUGAAAGUUUGCGGCUCAACCGUAAAAUUGCAGUUGAUACUGGAUAUCUUGAGUGCAGUUGAGGCAGGCGGAAUUCGUGGUGUAGCGGUGAAAUGCUUAGAUAUCACGAAGAACUCCGAUUGCGAAGGCAGCCUGCUAAGCUGCAACUGACAUUGAGGCUCGAAAGUGUGGGUAUCAAACAGGAUUAGAUACCCUGGUAGUCCAAGGGCGAAUUC
rnacentral:rRNA from 1 species